CAGCCAGUGCCCUACACUAUACAAGAUGCCACUGUAGGGACAGGGAUGACCUCUAGCAAGGUGACCCUCAGUGGGCCAGAGGGGGCUUCUGAAGAGAAUUUCUCUAGCUUCUUGGUGUUUCCUGCCUGCUACUUUCAAACAAGGGUCCCAUUUUUAAUGUUUUCCCAGUAAUACCUUAUGAAUGUUAUUGCAAAGCAGCGGGCUAAAUCAACACCACAGGCCCCGUGAUCAAUAUAUGUGAUGAGGACAUUACAUCCUGGUGUUGUUGCCCCAAGUCUUGACGUGAAUCUGACCACAAGGACAAUUCGGACAACCUGAAAUGGUGACGCAUUCUACAAAAUAAACAUCAAUGUCAUGAAAGACAAAGACUCAAGAUUUUCUGCUUAAUGGAGACUAAAGAGAUGCGACAACAGAAUGCCAGGCAUGAUCUUGGAUAUUCUUUUGGCUCAAACAGUCUUAGGACAAUUGAAAAAACGUGAAUGAGGUCUGUAGCUAAUAGAAUUGUGUCAAUGCCA
rnacentral:lncRNA from 1 species